AGAAGAGACAAAGAGAGAGUCUUCAAACCGGAACCCCUUCGGCACUUGGCUGGGCCUAGAAAUCCUGUCCAUAAUAGUUAUGAAUAGGAUCGGUGACAAAGGGCAGGAGUCAAACAUGCACCGAGAACAGGUCCAACUUAGUGCCGGCAAGGCGGACCAAACUCUUGCUCCGCUUGUACAGAGACCAGAUGGCCCCUAAUAAAGGGCCCCGCACUCCGUACUCCUGGAGCAUCCCCCACAGGGCACCACGAGGGACACAGUUGAAUGCCUUCUCCAGCUCCACAAAAUACAUGUGGUCUGAUUGGGCAAAUUCCCAUGGACGAAAACCACACUGCUCCUCCUGAAGCCGAGGUUUGACUAUUGACAAGACUUUCCUCUCCAAUACCCUGCCAUAGACCUAACCAGGGAGGCUGAGGAGUGUGAUCCACCUAUAGUUGGAACACACCCUCCGGUCACCCUUCUUGUGAAGGUGGACCACCCCAGUCUGACAGUCCAGAGGCAAUGUCCCCGACCACCACGCAAUGUUAAAGAGGCGUGUCAACCAUAAGGGCCCACAUCCAGAGACGUGAGGUACUCAGGGCGGAUCUCACCCAAAGCCUGGGUGAUGAAAGAGUCCAACCACGAGUCCCCAGUCUCUGCUUCCACCAGGGAAGGCGUGACAGCAGGAUUGAGGAGAUCCUCUAAGUACUCCUUCCACCGCCCGAUAAUAUCCCCAGUCGAGGUCAUUAGCUCCCCACCCCCACUGUAAACAGUGUUGGUGAAGCACUGCUUCCCCCUCAUGAUAUGCUGCAUGGUUUGUCAGAAUCGCUUCAAGGCCAACUAGUAGUCUUUCUCCAUGGCCUCACAGAACUCCUCCCAGGCCCGAGUUUUUGCCUCUGCCACAGCCCGAGCCGUGGCCCGCUUGGCCUCACGGUACCUGUCAGCCACCUCAGGAGUCCUACAAGCCAACCACAGCCGAUUGGACUCCUUCUUCAGCUUGACAGCAUCCCUUACUGCCGGUGUCCACCACCGGGUUCGGAGACUGCCGCCACAACAGGCACCACAGAACUUACAGCAACAGCUACGGGUGGCAGCAUCAACAAUAGAGAACAUGGUUCACUCAGACUCUAUGUCUCCAACCGGCCCCAGAAUCUGAUCAAAGCUCUCCCGGAGGUGUGAGUUCAAUACAUCACUGGCCGAGGGCCCUUCUCUUCACCCGAGUGUCCAAGACAUACGGCCGAAGGUCUGAAAAUACGACAACAAAGUCGAUUAUCUACCUCUUGCCUAGGGUGUCCUGUAGCCAAGUGCACUGAUGAACACCCGCUUGAACAUGGUGUUCAAUAUGGACAAUCCGUGAUUAGCACAAUAAUGAAACAGUCCAAUAAUGAAACACUACUUGGAAUCAGAUCAGGGAUGCCAAAUAUAAAUUUUUUUUUUUAUUGAUAUUAAAUAUCUUUGAAUCUAAGUCUGUAAAACACAGGUUUCAAUGGAUGUCUUAACUCUGUUGCCCAACUUUGAUUUGUGACUCCAUCUUGACAAGAAUAUCUAAAGGCUGAUGUUUUGUCUAAAAUAUGGCUAACAGUUAAAACUCUUUAAGAUGAGUUCAUAGUUUACUUUAUAAUUAACUCAUUAUAAAAUGACAGUUAGUUUUAUGAGCAGGGAAUUAUGUGUCACACUCAAAUCUAGAAAGUCAGGCUCUGGGACACCUUAUACUUCUAUUUUUGACUUUCUGCAAUGUGACUGGGGUAAAUGUUUAGUGAGUUCUCCAAUAAGGCCUAUUCUUUUAAUCUUGGCUUCAUAUUUGACAGUAGGUCCUGCAGAAACAAGAACAUGCAUAACCAGCAAAUACUGGAUUUAAGAAGGCAGUAUUUUUUAUGGGCAACAUAAGAUGUUAAAGGGGACAUAUCAUGCAAAAUCCACUUUUUUAGCCUUUCAUUUUGUUGUGUACUUGAAGCCUGUAGGAGUGCAGAAAGGUUGUUGUGGAGUAAUCUUCAUAUUCUGUUCGGGUUAUACUUUUCAACCCAUUAAUUUUUCUCUAUUAUCUAUUAUGUUUUUUGAACUCUUGCAUCAUAGUAUAUGCUGGGAACAGCUAAAUAAGAGCAUGGGCUUCUGGCUGAUCAAUUGUUCGUAUUUGCCAUAUUUAUUUCUCACUGCGAGUUGUAGUCCAAAGUCAAGUAUGCCUAUAGAUACGUUCAGAAUCAGAGUCAGAAUCAGCUUUAUUGUCAAGUUUGUACAUACAAACAAGGAAUUUGCCUCCGGUACACUUUGCUCUUUUGUUCUGUUUUUGCAUUACAGAAUAUACAAAUUUACAAUUUCUUCGGUUCAGUUGUUGGGUGUACAAUUCAUUACACCGUCCCCCAGCAUCAGAAUCUCUUUGAAGUGCCUGGUUAAAUUUUAUAUUUCAUGGAAAUGUACCCACAUCGGUGGGAAAAUUCCUAUUUCCACACUUCAAGGAUGAGGUUCUUCAGCAACCUCCACCAGUAUCAAAGAUUUGCUCAAAUACUUCAUCUGAAUAUGGGGUCAAUUCCUUUGGUCUAUGGAAACGACAAAUACAGCAAAGUGGUAAGCUGCAAAUAAUGCUAAAAUGACGAACUUUAUUUUAGACAUUCAUUUAUUGUGUUUUGAUAUGACAUGCUGGACAUUGUUUUGAUAGCAGUAACAUCCUGCCUUCUGCUUAUGUUAGUGCCAUGCUUUUAACUCCUUGAAGAUAUAACCGCACUGUGUGUUUUGAAUAGUAUUAGAUAAACAGUUUUGCAUUGUUUUUGCAGUUUUGUCUUCUUUUGCGACACUAGAUACUUGUAUUUCUUAUCAAACUACAAACAUGGCUGAACGGGUGAAAGUGGACCGCUCUUUGACCAGGAGGGGGACGGGGUGUGAGUGUGAAGUUCCUCAGUAACAUUUAACGAGACUGCACCUAAGUGUGGGGCCCAAUGUAAAAUUUCUGAAUUUAAAAGGCCUAUAAUACCAGUGCCCCACGUUUUGAAAUGUCUAUCGACAACUACGCCCCCCACCUCCCCGAAAGAAUAAUUUCUGUCAUAUAUUACACUGGCUACAUGCAGAAGUAUAGAUGAUUCUUCUUGUGAGGCGACUUUGGCUCUACCUGAGGAGCGAGGGUCUGUAUAUGGUGACCAAUAGCCAUUGGGAUUCAAUCUUUCACUCGCUAAUCAGAUGACCUGGUCAAUAAGUGAAUAGCCUAUCACCGAGACUGGUCAAUAUUUGGACGGCCAAUCGCAGGGCGAAAUCAAUCUUUGUGUUAGCCAAUCACUGGAACGCUUCAAUCUUUUGGACGGCCAAUCGCUGGGGGGAGCAGAAUCUUAAAUGUCCUGCCUACCUGGUACUGGCAACUUGAUGACCAGAGCUCAUUGUUGGUGUUGUGUCGUCGGUUUGGGUAAGACUUUUGCAUGCAUUGUUGAAUAUUCUGUUAUUUUUAUUAUAUACGAUAUAAUUAGCCUGUUUGUUGCCGCUAAAGUUGUCCGUAGUUGGCUAAAGAAGUCCAGUUGACAAUCUGUCAGGUUCAUAUUAAUGCAAUCUAAAACAAAUGUAAUGCUUUACCAUCUCAACAAAUACAACUUAGCAUGUGUUGCUACCAUGUUCAUCCAAGAGUAAAAAGAAAAUUAUUUAAUUUAUAGAGAAACACCAUAAAAUCUAAAAGGAUAUGUGUUUAUUUUUAUUUUAUUUCAGUGCUGAUAUCAAACCCUGGCUGUUAGUAUGAAUAGGUGUUUUAUAUUGUGUUGCAUACAUGUCUUUGUAAUCCACCCUUUUGAGUACUUGCUGUGAUGAGUUUAUGUAAAUGCAAUAUGAAUAAAAUUGCUUAUCUGUCAUUACAGAAAAUGUCUAAACAAAACUCCAAAAGCCACAAGGCUAUGGAUGAUAACGAGUGGUUCUCUAGACUGAGGUCUUUUGCCUCCACUGGUGUCUGGCCAUCAGAUACAGGUAACCGACCUGCCCCAAGGCAACAGAAGUGGUACACUCUGUAUCAGAAGAUAGAGAAGUGCCCACUACUGCUGAGAGGCCAGCUGACACUUUUCUCCCAGCCACAAGGGUGUUUGUGUGGGUUUCAUCUUCCUAAGGUAAGCCGAAUUUGGGCCUUUUUUUAACUACAGUUGAUGCACUAUGCAUACAGUGUAAAUAUGCAUUUCUUUCUCAUAAUGCAUUCUUGGACUUUUUGUUGUUUAUUUCUGAGCUGCUCUGGCAACAGAGAGCAGCUCAGAGGAAAAGGAUUAGCAGGUAAAACAAGGUCAUAAGGUUUAAACUAACUUCAUCACUAAUAUAAUAAAAAACAAAACAAAAACCUCUUAAUCGGUCACAUCAUUUGCAUGAAAUGGGUACUUAUUGAUUCUUCAUUAUGAAUGAAGUGUGUGAGUGGUUUUUGGUGAUUGGAGGGUCCAUUGGCGCAUGCUUUUGCAACCGUGUUUUGUCACUCCACCUCUAAGGACAACUGUGGCUACAUGCUUACAACCACCACUGAGUGAAUGAAUAAAAUCCCUUCACCCUGGUGAAGCACUUUGGGAUGACUUGUGUCAUGUGAAAAGCACUGUACAGAAGAGAUCCCCUUCCCUGCUUUCCUUAAUUAUAGUAUUAACUUAGUAUUGAGCAGUAGUAUUCUGCUUCCUUUAAAUCACUGAUGAUUUUGGCUAUUAUCUCUCUCUUUCUCAAACGUUUUGGGAAUGCUCCUGUUUAUAUACAUUGUUCUAAAUAUAUGUUCUGCAACAGGUGCCUACAGCCUCAUCUAGACCCACAAGCAGUGCAGCUCAAUCAACUAACAGUCAAAAUAGUUCCAUAAUGCUCCAGACUGCUACUCCAGUCAAAUACCCCACAGGUUACAGCACACCUGGAACUCUGGCAAAAAGGCCAAAACUCACCCUUUCUUCAUUUGAAAGGUCCAGAUUUGGUGGCAGGCAUGUGGAGAAUGCAAAGCCAAAUAUAAAUGUUGCACGAAAAACUCAUACGAAUGCAAC